rnacentral:rRNA from 1 species
CAGUCGCCACGGGAAUACCAGCACCUCGAGUGGUCAGGAGGUUUAUUGGGCCUAAAGCAUCCGUAGCCGGUUGCAUAAGUUUUCGGUUAAAUCUAUGCGCUUAACGUAUAGGCCGCCGAAAAUACUGUGCAGCUAGGGAGUGGGAGAGGUGCACGGUACUCGAUAGGAAGGGGUAAAAUCCUUUGAUCUAUUGAUGACCACCUGUGGCUAAGGCGGUGUACCAGAACACGUUCGACGGUGAGGGAUGAAAGCUGGGGGAGCAAACCGGAUUAGAUACCCCAGUAGUCCCUGUCUCUUAUAC